GACGAACGCUGGCGGCGUGCCUAAUACAUGCAAGUAGAACGCUGAAGGAGGAGCUUGCUCUUCUGGAUGAGUUGCGAACGGGUGAGUAACGCGUAGGUAACCUGCCUGGUAGCGGGGGAUAACUAUUGGAAACGAUAGCUAAUACCGCAUAAGAGUAGAUGUUGCAUGACAUUUGCUUAAAAGGUGCAAUUGCAUCACUACCAGAUGGACCUGCGUUGUAUUAGCUAGUUGGUGGGGUAACGGCUCACCAAGGCGACGAUACAUAGCCGACCUGAGAGGGUGAUCGGCCACACUGGGACUGAGACACGGCCCAGACUCCUACGGGAGGCAGCAGUAGGGAAUCUUCGGCAAUGGACGGAAGUCUGACCGAGCAACGCCGCGUGAGUGAAGAAGGUUUUCGGAUCGUAAAGCUCGGUUGUAAGAGAAGAACGAGUGUGAGAGUGGAAAGUUCACACUGUGACGGUAGCUUACCAGAAAGGGACGGCUAACUACGUG
rnacentral:rRNA from 1 species